rnacentral:rRNA from 1 species
GUGGGGAAUAUUGCACAAUGGGGGAAACCCUGAUGCAGCAACGCCACGUGUGGGAAGAAGCAUUUCGGUGUGUAAACCACUGUCAUGAGGGAAUAAGGCCUGUCUUCGGGCAGGAUUGAAUGUACCUUGAGAGGAAGCACCGGCAAACUUCGUGCCAGCAGCCGCGGUAAUACGAGGGGUGCAAGCGUUGUUCGGAAUUACUGGGCGUAAAGGGAGCGUAGGCGGAGAUUCAAGCGGAUUGUACAAUCCCGGGGCCCAACCCCGGCUCUGCAGUCCGAACUGGAUCUCUUGGAUAGUUCAGGGGCAGGCGGAAUUCCUGGUGUAGCGGUGGAAUGCGUAGAGAUCAGGAAGAACACCGAUGGCGAAGGCAGCCUGCUGGGGACUCAUCGACGCUGAGGCUCGAAAGUGCGGGUAGCAAACAGG